AGAACCACGCGCAGCGGCGGCGGGAGCCCCGAUGCUGACAGGGAUGGUCGUAGCGACCAAUCCGGGUUCAACGCUCGAGCGGUUCGCGGGCUCCUGGCGCUGCUCUGGGGGGUUGUGACGAUCUCGUUUGGAGUCUUUUGCGGGUCUCUUGAUUCAUGAAGUAACUGCAGAUGACCUUGAACGGAUCCCGCCUCCAUCCUGCAGGUGUUGGGAUUACAGGCAAGCACCACCUCCCUGGGUUUAGACCCCUCUUAUUACUAAAAGGAGAACGAACACUAUAAAUAUUACCUUAGUGAUUGAAGUACUAAGCAAAGGCAGAAUGAGAAGCAGGAAUGUUGGCUUAUACCUGGAAUUCUGCAAGAAGAGGGUGAGGUCACAAAAAGUCUCUGGAGAUACCUUGGACAGAAUUAUAAUCCAAGUAAAACCAGAAACUGCUCAAGUUACGUUUCUUUUCCCCUGUAAAUGGGAUGUAUUGAGAUUACUAGAAAAAUAAAUGUUUAUAUGUGG
rnacentral:lncRNA from 1 species